GUUUCUAAAACAGCUCAGUAAAAACCAGUGAAGCAACAGUUCAGUGUUACUCAUAGAUCAAGUCUUUCUCACUGGAUAGCAACAUGGCCACAAAACUACCAUCUCAAGAGGAAUUUGAGAACUGGACAGCUUUUCAAGUUGCAGAUCUCCUAAGACAGUGCAGAGAAACCAGUAUGUUUGGGCAGUACUCUGGACCAUUACAGAAACUGUAAGGUAUGCAAAGCCAGUGCUUGCUGAAAAAGAGAAUGAAUUCAUGGUAACAUUGAUUAAUUCUGCCUUGAAAUAUCAGAUUCUGUCACCGCCCCAGCAUUUUAAC
rnacentral:lncRNA from 14 species